UUUAUCAGUCAAUCCUGCUCCAUUCCUUCCUGGCAGAGUUCAUGAAACACUCAAGGAGUUGUGGGUAAAUGAUGAUUCUGUCUUCAAACAAGGAUCUGUGCGACCUUCCAAAGAACUCGGAAUGUCUUUCAUCACAGAAGGAAAAGUGCUGUGGCCUAUUUUUGAGAUGAUUUAUGGUACUUGGAGAUGAGCUUUGUGUGUCUAGCCUUCGGCCGGCAUUCAUUGACUUCCCCAGCACCUGGGAUGCUGCAAUUGCUGAAGAAAUGUUUGUUGAUAACACCCAUCCACAUGACUAUAAAGAGAGCUGAAAACUCUUCACAUUAAGUCCACAUUACUGCAACUCAUUUCUUGUUUAAUGAGUUAUUCCGGAGGAAGGGCAGUAGUGCCUGUCAAAAAAAUUAAAAGGACUUAGCAUAAAAGCUGGGUGGCAUGUUGACCACAACCACACAGAAACGAGUAAUGAAAGGAGGCAGGAGAGAAAGACGAAGCCCUGCUGGGGGCCUCGGCCGGCACAUGUGCACUCAGCUUCCCUUGCCUGCAUGUGGUGUGCAGCGGGCUGCCUUUGGUUGGUGUCUGGCUGGUGGUGGAGGAUGCCAGGAAAGUGUGAAAAGCCUUAUAAAUGUGUCCUCUGAACAUCGCUGACAAGCAACUGGACUGCAGCUCUCCCAUCUGCCUCUGGCAGGGCUGCCGUCAGCCUUCCAAGUCCAGGAGAGCAGCUGUGUGAUAAAUCACUCAGCGGCCCAAGGAAGUCCAAGUGUUUUCUCAUGGUGAAGAGGCGGCUGCCCUCCAGGUGUGGUGUCUGUGGAAGAGGAACGAGUCCUCUUGAGCAGCCUCAUGCAGGGAAUUAAGUAAAGGCUUAGGAAGGGU